GGGAAGGUGGCUCAGUGGUAGAGUGUUUGCCUUGCAUGCAUGAGGCCCUAGGUUUGAUUCCUCAGUACCA
rnacentral:tRNA from 1 species